AACGAACGCUGGCGGCGUGUUUAAGACAUGCAAGUCGCACGGGAUAAGACAUGUAGUAAUACUUGUUUUAUUUAGUGGCGCACGGGUGAGUAACACGUGAAUUACAUGCCCUAUAGUGGGGAAUAGCCCAGGGAAACUUGGAUUAAUACCCCAUGGUAUCGAAAGAUUAAAGGUGGCCGCAAGGCUGUCGCUAUAGGAUUGGUUCGCGCCUUAUCAGCUUGUUGGUGAGGUAACGGCUCACCAAGGCAAUGACGGGUACCAGGGCUGAGAGGACGAUCAGGCACACUGGAACUGAGACACGGUCCAGACACCUACGGGUGGCAGCAGUCGAGAAUAAUUCACAAUGGGGGCAACCGUGAUGGUGCAAAGCCGCGUGGAGGAUGAAGGUCUUCGGAUUGUAAACUCCUGUCAUCUGGGAGAAAGACCUGACGGUAAAUAGCCGGCAGGGUUGAUAGUACCAGAAGAGGAAGGGACGGCUAACUUCGUGCCAGCCGCCGCCGUAA
rnacentral:rRNA from 1 species